UGGGGGAUAUUGCACAAUGGGCGAAAGCCUGAUGCAGCGACGCCGCGUGGGGGAUGAAGGCCUUCGGGUUGUAAACUUCUUUUGCUCUGAACAAGGCAUGCUAAUGGGUGUGUUGAGUGUAGGGGUUGAUUAGCGCCGGCUAACUACGUGCCAGCAGCCGCGGUAAUACGUAGGGCGCGAGCGUUGUCCGGAAUUAUUGGGCGUAGAGGGCUUGUAGGUGGCUGGUUGCGUCUGUCGUGAAAGCUCAUGGCUUAACUGUGGGUUUGCGGUGGGUACGGGCUGGCUUGAGUGCAGUAGGGGAGGCUGGAAUUCCUGGUGUAGCGGUGGAAUGCGCAGAUAUCAGGAGGAAUACCGGUGGCGAAGGCGGGUCUCUGGGCUGUUACUGACACUGAGGAGCGAAAGCAUGGGGAGCGAACAGG
rnacentral:rRNA from 1 species